rnacentral:rRNA from 1 species
CUGAAAUCAAGUGUGACGACCCGCUGAACUUAAGCAUAUCAAUAAGCGGAGGAAAAGAAAUCAAAUGAGAUUUCCGUAGUAGCUGCGAGUGAACUGGAAUCAAGCCUAUUGCCAAUUCUUAUGUUUCGUACAAUAAGAGAUGAGGUGUAAAGGAGUUUCGUGUUGAACAGACGCACGGCCUAAAUAUUAUCGAGUGAGUUCUCAGAGAAGGUGAAAAGCCUGUCUGGUUGUGUCUGUCUGUUGAAUCGGAAUUCUUACGAGUCUAGUUGUUUGAGAGUACAACUUAAAGCUGGUGGUAAAUUUCAUCAAAGGCUAAAUAUAUGAGGGGACUAAUAGCGAACAAGUACCAUGAGGGAAAGUUGAAAAGAACUCUGACGAGAGAGUUCAACAGUGCGUGAAACCAUAUUGAGUAAAACAGAUAACUGUGUCGUUAUGCGGCGUGUCUAUCAACAGUAUAUCGGGUGUUGCGAUUCGGCGAGUGUGAGCUGUUUAUUCAGACGAUCGCUCGCUGUUAGCAUAGCUCGGGGUUCUGUGUACUAGUGCACGUCCAAUCAUUGAGAAACUAUGCUACUGCGGCAUCGGUGCUUGUCAGUCCGCGCCUAGCGCGAAGUCAAGUACUGGGCUCUGCUGGCGGCGUAGUUUAGCUGUGUGACAGCUGUGGGAUGCGUUUGUUGAAUGUGCCUGCUUUGUCUACGGAUCGGUUUAUUCCUUUCUGUGGUGAGUAUGGUACAGUAGGCGAGCGUCUCGCCAUCAAUGGUUGACAUUAGUUAUUUGACCC